GACGAACGCUGGCGGCGUGCUUAACACAUGCAAGUCGAACGGAAAGGCCCUGCUUUUGUGGGGUGCUCGAGUGGCGAACGGGUGAGUAACACGUGAGUAACCUGCCCUUGACUUUGGGAUAACUUCAGGAAACUGGGGCUAAUACCGGAUAGGAGCUCCUGCUGCAUGGUGGGGGUUGGAAAGUUUCGGCGGUUGGGGAUGGACUCGCGGCUUAUCAGCUUGUUGGUGGGGUAGUGGCUUACCAGGGCUUUGACGGGUAGCCGGCCUGAGAGGGUGACCGGCCACAUUGGGACUGAGAUACGGCCCAGAGUCAUACGGGAGGCAGCAGUGGGGAAUAUUGCACGAUGGGCGGAAGCCUGAUGCAGCAACGCCGCGUGCGGGAUGACGGCCUUCGGGUUGUAAACCGCUUUCGCCUGUGACGAAGCGUGAGUGACGGUAAUGGGUAAAGAAGCACCGGCUAACUACGG
rnacentral:rRNA from 1 species